AAGGGGAGUGUUUAUGAACGUUGUUUCCAAGAUUGAAACGUGUCCUAUGACGCAGGUGUCACAGGGAGGCACUAUAUAAUCCCGGGUCAAACGCAGCGAUCUUGUCGGCAGGCCUAUCGAAGGAGAACUGAAUACACCAUGAGAUCCAGCGUGUUAGUUGCCCUGUGUGCCGUCAGCGCCGCGAUGGUCGCCAGUGUCCAUGGAUACUAUGACAUGAACAGUGGUGUGGGUGCCCUGUCAAGUGGCUAUGGUUACGGAACAGGCUACGCUAUAGCCCCUGGUGGCGGUGGUGGCGGUGGAUUCGGAGGAAUCUUUGGGAUACUGAUCUUUUUGUUUGUGUUCAUCAUCAUCAUCAAUGUACUGUUCGGAGGUGGAAUUGGAGCCGGUGGUGGUGGCGGCGUUGGUGGUGGUGGCAGUAGCUAUGGCGGAAAGAAAGGCGGCGGAGGUAAAUAUGGACAAGGCCGCUAUAAUGACUACUACGACGGUUACUAAAACGACGGCUACUUCAACGACGGCUACAACAACGGCCACUCUCACUGGCACACGAAGUGAUAGUUUUCAGAUGAUGACAACGGCUUUCUCGACAGACCACUCAAGACGACCUAUGAUAUGAUAUUGUCAAUAUAUUUAA